rnacentral:rRNA from 1 species
UACAGGGGGUGCGAGCGUUGUCCGGAAUCACUGGGCGUAAAGGGCGCGUAGGUGGCCCGACAAGUCUGUGGUGAAAGCUCGAUGCUCAACAUCGAGUCGGCCAUAGAUACUGUUGGGCUGGAGCACUGUAGAGGCAGAUGGAAUUCCGGGUGUAGCGGUGAAAUGCGUAGAUAUCCGGAGGAACACCGGUGGCGAAGGCGGCUUCCUGGACCGACACUGACGCUGAGGCGCGAAAGCUAGGGGAGCAAACGGG